rnacentral:rRNA from 1 species
AGAGUUUGAUCCUGGCUCAGGACGAACGCUGGCGGCGUGGCCUAACACAUGCAAGUCGAACGGACGAAGGAGCUUCGGCUCCCUAGUUAGUGGCGAACGGGUGAGUAACGCGUGAGCAACCUGCCUUUCAGAGGGGGACAACAGCUGGAAACGGCUGCUAAUACCGCAUAACAUGAUUUAGCCGCAUGACUGGAUCAUCAAAGAUUUAUCGCUGAAAGAUGGGCUCGCGUCUGAUUAGCUAGUUGGUGGGGUAAAGGCCACCAAGGCGACGAUCAGUAGCCGGACUGAGAGGUUGAACGGCCACAUUGGGACUGAGAUACGGCCCAGACUCCUACGGGAGGCA